CAGGAUGUGGCGGUGAAGGUAUUCUCGAUGCAAGAAUAUUCAGAAGAAUUGAUAAGCUCCUUUAGACAAGAGGUUGUAAUUGCAGUUGAUAAUCUAGAUUCAGACCGAGGCAGUGAGGGAUAAUGGGUUGGCCUUUUAGUUGAUGAUGAGCCCAAAAAGUGAUCUAUAUUAUCCCCGGAUGAGACGAGUCAACAUCGAGGGAAAAUGGGUCCAUGUUGGCUUCUUCAGAUAGCGAGUUUCCAUUUGGAAAAUGGGUCCAUGUUGGCUG